CAGUAUGUCAAAGGGUGAUCUUUCUAAUAACAUGGUGACUUUUCUGUGUGCCUAUAGCUUCUUCACACCCCAGCUCACGUACUGCCAUCAGCUUCUUUUCUGUGCACUCUGUUUGUAAACUCACUGCUGCUGUCUAAAGAGACUAAAAGUGCUGAAGAAAUUUCUGAUGAUGUGGAUAUGGAGGGGAACGAAGAAAGUGAUGAUUCAGAUGAAGAAUAUGAUCUUACUGAAAAAGCCAAGGAAACAAGUAACCCAGACUUGGGAGAAGAUGCUAUACAUCAGCUGUCAAAGUCUGAAGAGAAAGAGCUGAGAAAGUUCAGAAAAGUAGAUUAUAGCUGGCUAACUGCUCUGUAGGCCAUGGCUGUGGCAUGACAUGGAGAUGUGUUGUACUUAAUUUUUACUGUCUGUUAAUACUCCACAAAUUUUGUAAAGUUAUUUUAUUCUUAAGAUAAAAUAUUAAAAGUCUUUUGUUU
rnacentral:lncRNA from 1 species